GCUAGCGUUGUUCGGAAUCACUGGGCGUAAAGCGCACGUAGGCGGAUCUUUAAGUCAGGGGUGAAAUCCCGAGGCUCAACCUCGGAACUGCCUUUGAUACUGGGGAUCUCGAGUCCGGGAGAGGUGAGUGGAACUGCGAGUGUAGAGGUGAAAUUCGUAGAUAUUCGCAAGAACACCAGUGGCGAAGGCGGCUCACUGGCCCGGAACUGACGCUGAGGUGCGAAAGCGUGGGGAGCAAACAGG
rnacentral:rRNA from 1 species